rnacentral:rRNA from 1 species
CCUACGGGAGGCAGCAGUGGGGAAUAUUGCGCAAUGGGCGAAAGCCUGACGCAGCGACGCCGCGUGAGGGAUGAAGGUCUUCGGAUCGUAAACCUCUGUCAGCAGGGAAGAACGGUCACUGUGCUAAUCAGCAGUGAAUUGACGGUACCUGCAAAGGCAGCACCGGCUAACUCCGUGCCAGCAGCCGCGGUAAUACGGAGGGUGCGAGCGUUAAUCGGAAUUACUGGGCGUAAAGCGCUCGUAGGCGGUAUGUCAAGUCAAGGGUGAAAUCCCCGCGCUCAACGUGGGAACUGCCUUUGAAACGGGCAAACGGGAGUGUUGGAGGGGAGAGUGGAAUUCCAGGUGUAGGAGUGAAAUCCGUAGAUAUGUGGAGGAACAUCAGUGGCGAAGGCGACUAUCUGGCACAUAACUGACGCUGAGGAGCGAAAGCGUGGGUAGCAAACAGGAUUAGAUACCCUAGUAGUC